UACGGAGGGUGCAAGCAUUGAUCGGAAUUACUGGGCGUAAAGGGCGCGUAGGCGGUGAGAAAAGUCGGAUGUGAAAUUCCAGGGCUCAACCCUGGAGCUGCAUAUGAAACUCUCUCACUAGAGUUCAGUUAGGGAAAACGGAAUUCCACGUGUAGCGGUGAAAUGCGUAGAUAUGUGGAAGAACACCGGUGGUGAAGACGGUUUUCUGGGCUGAGACUGACGCUGAGGCGCGAAAGCAUGGGGAGCAAACAGG
rnacentral:rRNA from 1 species